CACGUAGGGUGCGAGCGUUGUCCGGAAUUAUUGGGCGUAAAGAGCUCGUAGGCGGUGUGUCGCGUCGGCCGUGAAAACCUGCAGCUUAACUGUGGGCUUGCGGUCGAUACGGGCAUCACUGGAGUUUGGCAGGGGAGACUGGAAUUCCCGGUGUAGUGGUGAAAUGCGUAGAUAUCGGGAGGAACACCAGUGGCGAAGGCGACUUCUUGGCCUGUUCUUGACGCUGAGGCGCGAAAGCUGGGGGAGCAAACGGG
rnacentral:rRNA from 1 species